CCUGGGCAGAGAAAGAUGAAGCACAUGGCUGUUCAGGGACUUUAGGUGCUAGUUUUUGUAGCCUUCGGUGCUUAAAAUAGUUGUUAGGUGGUGCUCAGGCCAUACUGUAUUUGAGGAUCAGGUCCUUCAACCCAGCCUGUCCAUCAGGGCAAGAUGGGGCUGUGGGGUCAGCCUUACUCCCCAGAGCCCAGCUGUUUUCUGCAGUGGUUCUGGUUUUCAUUGCCCCUGUGAGCUCUCACCUCUUCUCCUCUCCACGCUCCUGCUGUACUUGCUCACGUUUAUCUCCUGGGGAUCAAGAUGUACUUGAACUUUGGAAAUGAAAACGGAAAUUUGAACAGGAAACACGGCAGAUUGACAUGUUCCUCAUUACCAGUGCUACAUUUGUUGAGCAUAUGUUUUACAAAUCAAAACACUGCAGUAUUCACAGUCCUAGGGGUGGGGGCGAGGAGGGAGACGUGUCCAUGCCCCACCCAGUUUGUUUGUUCUUGAAGAUGAUUCAUCUGCAAGGCCACCUCUAGCCAAUGCUCAAAGUGCUUCGCUACUGUUCAGAGAUAUCCUGAUGAAACCCUAGCUCCUCCUGAAAUACAGUGUGAGCUUACUGUACAGGGAAAACACUGGGCAAGAUUACAUCCUCCAUGAAAAAAAAAACAUCAAGCAAAAAACAACCAAAGCCUCAAAUGCAAGCUUGCUACACCUGUCAGUUUUGUAAGUGGAGAUCUUUAUUCUGGUGGCAAUCUGAUAACCUGCAGUGUAAAAUGGCCUCUUCCUGGCUUUACAGGUAUCAGGAAAUCAAGGCUGAGUUGCUUUGGCCGUGGUCAUCACACCCCUACUGAGCUCCUGCAGCAAGCAUGCAUUGUCUCACAUGCAUCAUGUUUGUUGGGCAGUAGGGAUGACUGGUGUGUAUGUGCACCUACGAGCUCUCACCUCUCCUGUGUAGGAAUGGUUCACUGCAUACGGGUCAGCAGCUCAUGUACAGUGUUUACAGUGUGGGGCGUGCCAGGCUGCUUUGUGCCUUCACACUGCUGGUGAGACAGCACAAGGCCUAACAAACAAAGGGACAUAAGAAACUGCAGGAAUUUCUCAUGCUUCCUGGUAAACAGAAAGGAAAGAUGUUGUUCCUCCUUUCCUUGAAGCUUGUUCCUUAGAGCUUCUUUGGACAUUUUUCAGUAGCAUAUUUCUUGAGAGUUGACCUUGUCCUACUGUUGAAAUGCCUCCAGAAAGAGAAAUACGGGAUGAUUUACUCUUGACAUCUUAGCCUGCGUGGACUCUUUGGUCAACCUUAACUUCAGUGUAAAUCAGAGAAAAGAAAGAGAAAUCAUGAUCCUAAUGCACCCAUACAUAAACCAAAAAGAACUCAAUUAACACAGUAUUAGGAGAACCUCCAACAGGGCUCCUUGCAAAAUGACAGGAAUAUCAAGGAUGUGAUACAAAAGGACGACAGCAAAUAUGUGUCCACUCCAGCAUGGACAAAGCCAUUGAGGCAGGUGGAGCUGAAGCUGAAAGCUUCUCUAUGCUUACUUUGUACUUCCAGGACAGAAGGAUAUGGAGAAACAGAUUUAACUUUAAGCAUCUCACGUUUUUGAUGUGCCUCCUUUUUAAGAAUGAAAACACAAGCAGAUCUUGGAAUCACAGCAGUCCCUGCUUUGUCUAAGUCAAGUUGGUCCUUAAAACAGCCUGAAACUCUUGUCAUCGUGUGGGCAUUGCCCUCCAGAGAUAAUAGCAAGGCCUGUGGAAAAAGCCACCCCAAACCACUUCUGCAGGGAAUUUUUAGGAGGAAGGAAAUUGAUCACCAGAAGUUGGGAGCAAAGAAUUCAUACAUUUUUGAUCCAUCACCUGUUCUGCUGGUAAAAUCUGAGCUAUGCUUCAAUGAAUUGCUCUCCUCGUGCUGCAAAGGACGCUGCUAAAAAAGAGGUUUGAGAGCUGAGUUAGACUAUAUUGUCUUCAGGGCUGGUGGUCUGUUUCCCAUCUCCAUGUGUUAAUGGAUCACAUGCAGACCUGUCGGUGAUCGCCUGCUCUGUUUAGAAAAGCCCUAACAUUUUUUGGUGAUGGGACAAGGCAAUGAUGGCCUCAGGUGGGGUUUUCCUGCAGCCAGAGCCUAUCUAUUGGGAGGAUGAUCGAAGCAACCAAUCUAAGUUUUCCUGUUUCCUAUUUUAUCCUUCUAGAUUGCAUUUAAUAGAGCUAUUUUUUAUAGGCGGCAUUUGAGGAAGGUUUCCGAAGGUAACAACUGGAGUCACCUAAAAUAAGGGCUAUAUUGCUAUAUUGCAACGUCCAAAUAUUUCCAUAAAUAGAUGCAGGGCAAUGGGCAAAGAGAGGCGCCCAUAGCGGCUGUCUCUGCAUUGGCUUUUCCUCAGCUCAGCAUUACUGAGCACACUGUCACCGAGCAAAACUCAGUGCAACUUUUUCUUUUCUUUUUUUUUUUCAUUUCAAGUGAGACAUGCUGACUAAGAGCUAAUAAAGGUAUUGCCC
ensembl:lncRNA